AUUCAAAUGGCAACUCCAAAGCUUUUUGCAGUGUUCAUCGCAGUCAUGUUCUUGUGUUCUUGUUUCGUUGCAUCAACUGAAGGGAAAGGUUUGUGGAGCUGCAUUCGUCCAUGUGCCAAAGAUGAACUGAAUUAUGUCUGUAAGUUGGAUUGCCUCCAUCAACAUCGAGGCACUGGAUCUUGUAUGCCUAAACGAGAUGAUAGUGAUGAACUUGUGUGUUGUUGUGAUCGUUGAUGCGCAAAAAAGAACGAGUCAUCUCAAACUGAUGUUACUGGAAUAAAAUGAUAACGGGUUACGUAUCAUAUUAA